UAAUUAUACCCUGCCUUCCUUUCCAGCUGAGCUAGACUGAGGUACAGCUGAUGGAGGAGGGGUGCAGAGCUCCCAGUGAACCUCUCUGAAGAGACUGAGGCUCUAUCCUGUGUCAGCCAAGGCCCAUCAGCUCCUUCUGUGUGUGUGCUGGGGCUCCAAGAGCCACAGACGCUGACAGUGGAGCACUUUGGAGAUUAGUCCAGCCCCCUUUAGGUGCUGGAAGGCCACAAUGAGGUCACCUCAGAGACUUCUCUUUCCAUGCUGAACAAUCCCAGUUCUUCAGAGGAGAUUCUUCUGAAUCUCUGUGGCCUCCUUGGAACUCCCACAGGUCCCUACCCUUAUGUGAGGGCUGCGGAGAUGGACUCAGUACUUCAUGAGAGCAACGUAGAGGGAAAACUCAACCCAUUUCUAAGAGAAAGGCGUGUGUUUUCUCCUGUGCAUUGCUCAAUGGGGGUCAUCAAAACUGAUGCAGACUUUUUCCUGUUGAGGGAUACAGAGGUACACCACUGCUCUGCAGAACUGGAGCUUCAUUUCACAAUUCUAGAUAAGAGCAUCU